ACUCAAAUGAAUAGACGGGGACUUGCACAAGCAGUGGAUUAUGUGGUUUAAUUCGAUGAUAAACGAAGAACCUUACCAAGGUUAGAAAUCCAGACGAAUCCUAGGAGAAACUCUAGGAGCCGCAAGGCGGCUGGACAGGUGAUGCAUGGCCGUCGUCAGUUCGUGGUUUGAAUUGUUCCCUUAAGUGGGGUAACGAACGCAACCCUCGUUGUCUGUUACAAGUGUCAGGCGAGACUGCCCCGUAUUUUGAGCACAAACAUUAUGGAAUGUUUGCGACCAGGAUACGGGGAGGAAGGUGAGGAUGACGCCAGGUCAGCAUGUCCCUUUGAUACCUUGGGCUACACACAUAAUACAAUCGCAGUUACAACAGGUCGCGACGGAGUAAUCCUGAGCUAAUCCUUAUAAAGACUGCGCCAGUUCGGAUUGGGGGCUGCAACUCGACCCCAUGAAGCCGGAAUUGCUAGUAAUCGCGGGUCAGCCAUACCGCGGUGAAUACGUUCUCAAGUCUUGUACACACCGCCCGU
rnacentral:rRNA from 1 species